UCUUUGGGGAACAUUUUAUCUUCAUCCUGCAACACACAUCCACCUUAGUAGCCUCUCCUCAACUAAUGUGGGAACUACAACUCACAGAGGAAAAGUGAACUGGAUCAAGGCCACUCUGAUCGAAGCUGGUCACGUCCCACAUCUGUGAGACAGUAGAGCCAGUUCUCUGCCCGGUGAAGCAAGCCUGUAAAAGCAUUUCUUUAACAAGUGACUUCAGACUUCAUGUAAACUCAACUGCAUACUGGAAGUCACUGUGAUUCUAAUUUUAUGAAGAAUUAUCAAGUGGAGCAUAUUUAACAAAGUGUGUGGGUUUUUUUUUUCUUACACAGUUUUCUUUUUUCUUUUUUUCAAGGUGCCUUCUUCUAAUUCAUCUUGUAUGGCUUCACCACUGUGGCUGUCAAGAUGGCAUGCAAAAUUAUCCCUCUUUCCAGGAAUAUUUGACUGUAUCUGGGGCUGUAAAUGAAAGGAAACAAGAAUCUAUCAAUUUUUGCAACUAACGGAAAUGGAAAUGAAAGCAAAAUGGAAGGACGUGAGGUCUUUAUCCUUGGAGAUCCUAUGGAGUCUCCACAGACAUUCCUUGAAGAAAUCAGGUGUGACGGAUGCUAAUGCAGAGCCUGGUGUUUAGCAAAAAGAAUGUUGGAGAAAGGCAGAGUGCUGACUUAUGUUGGAGAGAUGCCAGUAACCUGUAUUCUUACCUGGAUCACCAAUGGGUCUGUGUCAGUGAAGAAGAUGGAGCUCAGCCUGGCACUCUAACCGGUUCUCUGGGUGUACUGCAAAGGUCUAAUAAAAGGCACCUUUGCCCAGUUGCUUCAAUUCUAGGAAGCUGUUCAAUGUUUGACUAUAUUUCUCCAUACUCAUUUGAAAACGGUUCAUCAGGUUAGUUCAGUUGAAUUAUUGCUCCUUGGGAGUUUUCCAAACCCUGGAUUUCCUUCGGAGAGAGCUAGAUUCAAUUCCAUUCUUAGAAUCCAGCUCCUUGCCCCUCUCUGUGACCCCUGAUCGCAAAUGCAGUAAAAUACCCUGCAGCCUUCUGCACUGAGACAGGACUCCCUGGCCUCCUGCUUAGAGAUGGAAUCUCAUCUCUUGGGAUUUUCAGAGCAAGAACGUUAGACAAGCUGUCUGUUUUCCUUCUUCAUUUCUACAGUUUGGUCACCGACAUUUUGGUAGCAGAUAGUAGCAAUAAUGGGUACUCCUAAAAGUAUAUAUAUGGUAAGAAGAAGAAAGGGAAAAAAUAUCAUUCUAUCCAAUCACAUUUGUCUCCUCCAUACCCCGUAUGAAGUGUUACUCAGUAGAUUUUGUUAAACCAACCACGG
rnacentral:lncRNA from 1 species